rnacentral:rRNA from 1 species
GACGAACGCUGGCGGCGUGCUUAACACAUGCAAGUCGAGCGAAAAGGCGCGGCUUUUGCUGGUUGCUCGAGUGGCGAACGGGUGAGUAACACACGAGUAUCAUGCCCUUGACUGAGUGAUAACUCCAGGAGACUGGGGCUAAUACCGCAUAUGAGCUCCUGCUGCAUGUGGGUGGUUGGAAAGUUUCGGCGGUUCGGGAUGGUCUCGCGGCUUAUCAGCUGCUUUGGGUGGUAGGGGCGUACCAAGCGUUUGACGGGUAGCCGGCAUGAGAGAGUGACCGGCGACAAUGGGACUGAGAUACGGACCAGACUGCUAUGGGAGGCAGCAGUGGGGAGUAUUGCACAAUGGGCGGACGCCUGAUGCAGCAAUGCCGCGUGCGGGAUGACGGCUUUCGGGUUGUAAACCGAUUUCGCAGGUGCCAAGCACUGCUUGACGGUAAUUGGUAAAGAAGCAACGGCUAACUACGUG